CUCCCAGAGACCAGCAAAGCUGAGACAAGUAGAGGCACCAAGGAACAAGGAAGAAGGGCAGCCGCCUUAUAACAGGAGGAACUGUGGUUUCCAGUAAGCUACUCUGCAGAGGACCCCAGCAGCUAUUGCCAUGGAAGAAAUCAAGGACCACCACAGCUGCCUCGGACUCCUUGCAGAUUUCAUCAGUUUUUACCCCACAGUGGAGGAUAAUUGAAAUUAUGUCUGUGACUUGGAAACUGACCAGUAUUCUGAAAUGCAUUUUACACAGGAGGGCAUUCAGGCUAUAUACAUCUACAAUGAAGUUCUAAGAAGUGGAAAUGGAAAGGAAAACUUAAUGCCAAUACAUUGAAAUUUUUGAUAAUAUAUACAGUUCUUCAGAAAC